rnacentral:lncRNA from 1 species
UUAUACCAGUACUCUCGAUUUCACUACUAUUUUGGACCUUCUCACUAUCACUAGGAUUUUCCAUUAUACCAGUACUCUCGAUUUCACUACUAUUUUGGACCUUCUCACUAUCACUAGGAUUUUCCGGUUCUAAAAUGUCACUAGCCUUUUGGUAGCUUAUCAUCAUCAUCAGGCUCAUCAUCAGGCUCAUCAUCAGGCUCAUAAUCAGGCUCAUCAUCAGGCUCAGUAUCACUGUCAUUUUCCGGUUCUAAAAUGUAAUGAGCCCUUUGGAUCUUAUCAUAAUCAUCAGUAUCAUUGUCAUUUUCCGGUUCUAAAGUGUCAGUACCCUUUUGGAGCGUAUCAUAAUCAUCAUCAGGAUCAUUAUCGUCGCUAUCAUUGUCGCUAUCACUGUAAUUUUCAGCACUGUAAUUUACAGGUUCUAAAAUGUCACUAGCCUUUUGGAGCUUAUCAUCAUCAUUGCCACUAUCCUUUUCUUUAUCACUAUCAGUUUCAAAUCUGAC